GGCUCCAGUGGCCUAGUGGUUAGAGCGUCCGCCUCGGAUGCGGGAGGUUGUGGAUUAUAUCUCUGGCUAAGCCA